rnacentral:lncRNA from 1 species
UGGUUGCACCAGCUCUUGGUAUGUAGCGACUUGGUGGAAGAGGAGAAGCUCCUGUCCAAUGAGCUGAAAAUUUCCAGAAGAGUUUGAGAAAAGCAGGCUGCACUGCAAUCUGAGCAGAAAAAGAGGCUUAGAUACUACAGUGUGAGCCAGUGAAGGAGGAAGUCUUGGCACUUCCCAAUAGAAUUUUUGACAGUAGUGUGAAGCAUUGCCAACUAUAAAGCCUUGUUGUUUGAACUUUUUCUAAAGGACACUAGACAUGCCUGCAGUUUUACUUGUCAUCUCUAUUUUGUUUUUGUCGUAUUCUUCACUUGAUUUGUUUUUGUGUGACCAAGACCCAGGGCAAACUAUGCUUUUAUUUCUCACUGAAUCAAUGGGCACACAAGCCAUGAGUCAAUUUGGGCUCAAGAGUAAGACUGUACAGGAAACUCAGGAUGGCAAUGGGAGUCUGUUUCCAGGACCGGGAGUUCCUAGAGGAUCUACUGCUCUGCCACCUCCCCCAGCACAAAGACUGAGGUUCUUGAAGCAAGAGGUGAGAUGCAAUCCAGAUGGGUCCCAAGGAUACCCAGGGAAAAAGACUGGCCAACAGGUCCAACUACAGAACACCCUCAUCUCCAUAUACACAAGCACAGGAGUAUUGAGAGUGAAUUCUGUUCUGAAAUUGACAGUCCUUCCCCUGUACUUAUGGACAGGCAUUAAUGGGCAGAGCUCAGCAAAGAGACUCCUUUAUCAAGUUUGGUCAGGUUUGGAUCAAAGCUGAGAACAAAUGAACACUUUAAUAAUUGUGUCACAUGAACCUCCUUGUAAACUGGGAAUUCUAAAAUCAAAGCUCUGGAAAUAAAUGUUUCCAUUUAAGAUAACUCAGC